rnacentral:lncRNA from 11 species
UUUGUGCUGAAAACAGAACUGACUAUAGGAGGCUUCCGAGGUUUACAAAAUGCAAACAAAAAGAUAUUGGAUCUAACAUGACAAUGGGCAUGUUGAAGUCAGCCCUUCAUCAAGGCUUCUGGACUCCAUCAAAUGGCAAUCUCUCCUAAGGCCCAGAAAUCUCUGGCUUUCUCAACAGUUACAUUUUAUUGCAGAAUGGCCUAAAGCCACAUGGAAACUGGAAUAAUUUUUUUCAUGGAAUCUGGAUCCCAUUCUCUCUACCCCACCCUGCAGGAGGCCCCAAUACAUGGAGAACAAGAGAUGGAGAAAGACUACUGUACCUUCAAGUCAACUCUCACUGGUUGCAAUCCUGUAAUAAGAUUUUUUUUCUACCAAAUUCAUUCAGCCGUCUUCAGAAGCUGAGAACCUGUGACUUGCCCAAAGUCACCCAGUGAGUUUCCAUAUCGGAUCAAGGAUCCAUUCUCCUGAAGUCUUUGUCCAGUUCUCAUACCACUAUGCUGGUAUACCCUCCAAGCUGCCUUCAUCAUUGACAAUAGUGUGUAUAUGUACACUAGAGGUGUGCACUAAAAUGUUUCCUUCGUGCUGUCAUUUUGUUUUCUUUUCUUACUGACAGAUGGCUUCUGCUUUGCUUUCCCACUACAGCGGAUGUGUAUGUACCGAUGAGUGUUAAUAAUAAU